rnacentral:rRNA from 1 species
AAAGAUUAAGCCAUGCAUGUCUAAGUAUAAACAACUUUAUACUGUAAAACUGCGAACGGCUCAUUAAAACAGCAAUAAUUUAUUUGAUGAUUAUCUUACUACAUGGAUAACUGUAGUAAUUCUAGAGCUAAUACAUGCGUAAAGUCCUAACUCGCAAGGGGAGGGAUGUAUUUAUUAGAUAAGAAACCAAUGCGGGUUAAACCGCCAUUGUGUUGAAUCAUAGUAAAAAUCGGACGGCACUGCGAAUGCAGGUCGUAGGUCAUUCAAAUUUCUGCCCUAUCAGCUUUCGACGGUAGUGUAGUGGACUACCGUGGCGU